GUGCUUGCUCCUGUAGCACAUACACCAAAAUUGGAACAAUGCAGAGAAGAUUAGCAUGGCCCCUCUGCAAGGAUGACAUCUAAAUUCAUGAAGCGUUCCACGUUACA